UGUGCUCCUGACUUGCGGUUCCGGGAUGUCUUGGAGCAAAGUUCCGCACACCUCACUUAAGAGAGGAACCGCAUUUAGACGGAGAACGUCGACUUUCCACAGAAAGCGAGUUACAAAAAGAAUCCCUGAACUCACCAGGAGUCCCUUCUCUUCCAAACGGCGUCCUGAAGGGUGCGCGGUUGCAGGAUAACUGACAUUUUGGGCAAGAUAAUUCUUUGUUAGGGGGAUUAACUUGUGCAUUGAAGGAUGCUUGCCUACAUCCCUGGCUUCUAUCCACUGAUUUAUCUACUGAGAGCAUAGAAGACUUACUUUCAUCAUCUGAAUCAAAUCCAAAGAGUGUCUGACAUUUCUUUUGUGCAAGGGAAGAGCUGACAAUGCGAAGGCCACAUGAGUGAGCUAGGAUGGAUAGGUGUGGCUUGCCAACAUGUUUGGAAAAAGUCCCAUCAAAAGUAUCUCCAGGAUGCAGAUGAAAACAACACUGAGAUUCCACCUCACCCCAGAAAGAAUGGCUGCUAUCAAGAAAUCAACAAAUAACAAAUGUUGGCGGGGGUGUGGGGAGAAAGGAACCCUUCUCCGUUGUUGGUGGGAGUGCAGACUGGUGCAACCACUGUGGA